rnacentral:misc_RNA from 1 species
GGGGAUUGUUAUGGCUUACGGUUGCUUGCUUGGUGUUUGUGCUAGGCGGGUGGUUGGUAGUUGUAUGUUCUUCGGGAAUGUUGAUCGUAAAGGUGCAUGAGUGGUGUUUGGUUUGUUACAGGUGGUUGGAUGUCUGUUAGUGCAGCAACUUCUACGUGUCCAUACCUCUUCAGUUGUGCUACAAGGUUUUAUUGGUCUUGUGCAUCCCUGGGUCUCUGUGCUGCAUACCUAAUCAAGGGCAUCGUGUGGCUAUAUUAAAGUUCAUUUCGUUAGGCGUUGCUUGCGGCGUUGAACGAACUUCGAAGCGGUCUCUAGGAUCCAUUCUGUAUUUGCACUUGCAAAGAUGGAAUGGCCCUUGGAAUGUCGUUGGGUCUCUUGGAUAUGGAACCUGAUUGGGCUUGUUGGGUCUUUACUGAUCUAAUUUUCGCCCUCGUUUAGUGUUCUCGCUUCUCUAAACGACCGUCUGUCAUGCGUCGGCAUGUCCGUGCGUGGUGGGCUGUGUCAAAGAGGAAUGU